UUAGACCUAACCCUAAUCAGACUUCAUAGUUACCUAUCUAUGGUUGUCCCUGGUGGUCUCUCACUACCCACAUGCCUCUAUUAGCCUCUCUAAUGUUGAUAUUUCCAUCUCCAUGGUCCUCAAGGGACCAUAGCUAGUUGGUUUGCAUCUAUAGCUCCAUUAUCGCCUGUUUCAGGUUGUUCCAGUAUGAUUCUGAGUAAGAUCGUCCUAUAUCGACUGUGAUCUAUGGGUUUCUAAGCAUGUUUUUUCACCUCUGUCUUAUUCUUUUCGAAACCC
rnacentral:lncRNA from 1 species